AACAAGGUUUCCGUAGGUGAACCUGCGGAAGGAUCAUUACCGAGUUCUGGGUUCUCUCAUCGAGGCCCGCUCUCCCACCCUUUGUGAACUUAACCUCUGUUGCUUUGGCGUGGCCAGCGCUCUCUCGUAAAAAAGAAGCGCGGCCGGCGGGGCCUGGCCCCCGCUGGUAAGUCGCCCGCCAGAGGACUAUCAAACUCUUGUCAGUAAACGAUGCAGUCUGAUUCAAACAUUUAAUUGUUUAAAACUUUCAACAACGGAUCUCUUGGUUCUGGCAUCGAUGAAGAACGCAGCGAAAUGCGAUAAGUAAUGUGAAUUGCAGAAUUCAGUGAAUCAUCGAAUCUUUGAACGCACAUUGCGCCCUAUGGUAUUCCGUAGGGCAUGCCUGUUCGAGCGUCAUUACACACCUCAAGCUCUGCUUGGUAUUGGGCGUCGCCCCUCCCUAAACGAGGGGGCGUGCCUCAAAGACCUCGGCGGUGGCGUCUUUGCCUCAAGCGUAGUAAUAUUCUUAUCUCGCUUUGGAGUCGAAGGCGUCGCCCGCCGGACGAAACCUUUAUUUUUCUAUCAAGGUUGACCUCGGAUCAGGUAGGGAUACCCGCUGAACUUAAGCAUAUCAAUAAGCGGAGGA
rnacentral:rRNA from 1 species